rnacentral:rRNA from 1 species
AGAGUUUGAUCCUGGCUCAGGAUUAACGCUGGCGGAAUGUAUAAUACAUGCAAGUCGAGCGAGAAGUUUUAGUAGCUUGCUACUGAAAUGGACAGCGGCGAACGAGCGAGUAACACGUUAGAACCUGCCCCGAACUCAGGGAUAAGCACUGGAAACGGUGUCUAAUACCGGAUAGUCUCGAAAGAGUAAAGAUUUUUCGGUUCGGGAGGGGCUUGCGGCCUAUCAGCUUGUUGGUGAGGUAAAGGCUCACCAAGGCUAUGACGGGUAACUGGUCUGAGAGGAUGACCAGUCGCGAUGGGACUGAGACACGGCCCAUACUCCUACGGGAGGCAGCAGUAGGGAAUCUUCCACAAUGGACGAAAGUCUGAUGGAGCAAUUCCGCGUGAUUGAUGAAGCGUUUCGGCGUGUAAAGAUCUUUUCUGGGGGAAGAAUUAUGACGGUACCCUAGGAAUAAGCACCGGCUAACUCCGUGCCAGCAGCCGCGGUAAUACGGAGGGUGCAAGCGUUAUCCGGAAUCAUUGGGCGUAAAGCGUCUGUAGGCGGUCAAAUAAGUAUGAUAUGAAAGACAAUGGCUCAACCAUUGGAACGUAUUGUAAACUGUUUAACUAGAGGACUGGAGGGGUGUGUAGAAUUCUGCAUGUAGGGGUAAAAUCCGUAGAUAUGCAGAGGAAUACCAAAAGCGAAGGCAGCACACUGGACAGUUCUGACGCUCAGAGACGAAAGCGUAGGUAGCGAACGGGAUUAGAUACCCCGGUAGUCUACGCCGUAAACGAUGAUCACUCGAUGUUAGGCUUUUCAAUCGGCCGAGUGUCCAAGCUAACGCGUUAAGUGAUCCGCCUGGGGAGUACGAUCGCAAGAUUAAAACUCAAAGGAAUAGACGGGGACCCACACAAGCGGUGGAGCAUCUGGUUUAAUUUGAUAAUAAGCGGGGAACCUUACCUGGCCUUGACAUCUUUUUGAAUCUUCUAGAGAUAGAAGAGUGCCUUCGGGAACAAAAAUGACAGGCGCUGCAUGGUUGUCGUCAGCUCGUGCCUUGAGGUGUUCGGUUAAGUCCGUGAACGAGCGCAACCCUAGUCAUGUGUUGAAUUUUUCACAUGAGACUGCCGGUUACAAAUCGGAGGAAGGUUAGGAUGACGUCAAAUCAGCAUGGCCCUUAUGGCCAGGGCUACACAGGUGCUACAAUGGUGCAUACAACGGGCAGCGAGACAGUAAUGUUUAGCCAAUUCCUUAAAGUGCAUCUAAGUUCGGAUUGAGGGCUGCAACUCGCCCUCAUGAAGUUGGAAUCGCUAGUAACCGCAUAUCAGCAAUGGUGCGGUGAAUAUGUUCCUGGGUCUUGUACUCACCGCCCGUCACGUCACGAAAGUUGGGGGCGCCCGAAGUACCUCGGUUCUGAGGUCCUAAGGUGAAACCAGUGAUUGGGACGAAGUCGUAACAAGGUAACC